rnacentral:sRNA from 1 species
UAGGCGCAUUGAAAUCUUGCCUUCUAAUUAUUUAUCACUAGAUUCUAGUCUAGUACUCUAGAUCUAGUUAUUCUAGAUUAGAUCUCUUGAUCUAUAUCAUACUAAUCAUGUUAUGUUAAUGUGUGAAAUAAAUAAGUGUAUCUGUGAAAAUGACAAGUUCUAGUGGAACAACUCAAUGUGAACAAAUCACUAUUCAAGUCAAGAAAAUCAACCAUGAGUCUUCAAGUUUUCCCUAUUCUGGUCGAGAGGGACAAGUUGCUUGCUGUGUUGGUCAAAAAGUUUACAUUUUUGGUGGAGUGGAACAGGGUCAAGGAAAUGAACCCAAAGAAACUAAUGAAAUGAUUGUCU